rnacentral:rRNA from 1 species
AGAAUCAACGCUGGCGGCGUGCCUAACACAUGCAAGUCGAACGAGAAAGUGGAGCAAUCCAUGAGUAAAGUGGCGCACGGGUGAGUAACACGUGACUAACCUACCUUUUAGUGGGGGAUAACCUAGGGAAACCUGGGCUAAUACCGCAUAAUACCUACGGGUCAAAGCAGCAAUGCGCUGGAAGAGGGGGUCGCGGUCGAUUAGUUAGUUGGCAGGGUAAUGGCCUACCAAGACUGUGAUCGAUAUCCGGCCUGAGAGGGCGCACGGACACACUGGAACUGAAACACGGUCCAGACUCCUACGGGAGGCAGCAGUGGGGAAUUUUGCGCAAUGGGGGAAACCCUGACGCAGCAACGCCGCGUGGAGGAUGAAGUCCCUUGGGACGUAAACUCCUUUCGAUCGGGACGAUAAUGACGGUACCGGAAGAAGAAGCCCGGCUAACUUCGUGCCAGCAGCCGC